rnacentral:rRNA from 1 species
AUUGAACGCUGGCGGCAUGCCUUACACAUGCAAGUCGAACGGUAACAGGUCUUCGGAUGCUGACGAGUGGCGAACGGGUGAGUAAAACAUCGGAACGUGCCUAGUAGUGGGGGAUAACUACUCGAAAGAGUGGCUAAUACCGCAUGAGAUCUACGGAUGAAAGCAGGGGAGCGCAGGACCUUGUGCUACUAGAGCGGCCGAUGGCAGAUUAGGUAGUUGGUGGGAUAAAAGCUUACCAAGCCGACGAUCUGUAGCUGGUCUGAGAGGACGAUCAGCCACACUGGGACUGAGACACGGCCCAGACUCCUACGGGAGGCAGCAGUGGGGAAUUUUGGACAAUGGGCGCAAGCCUGAUCCAGCAAUACCGCGUGCAGGAUGAAGGCCUUCGGGUUGUAAACUGCUUUUGUACGGAACGAAAAGCCCCGGGUUAAUACCCUGGGGUCAUGACGGUGCCGUAAGAAUAAGCACCGGCUAACUACGUGCCAGCCGCCGCCGUAA